rnacentral:rRNA from 1 species
GACGAACGCUGGCGGCGUGCUUAACACAUGCCAGUCGAACGGAAAGGCCCUGCUUUUGUGGGGUGCUCGAGUGGCGAACGGGUGAGUAACACGUGAGUAACCUGCCCUUGACUUUGGGAUAACUUCAGGAAACUGGGGCUAAUACCGGAUAGGAGCUCCUGCUGCAUGGUGGGGGUUGGAAAGUUUCGGCGGUUGGGGAUGGACUCGCGGCUUAUCAGCUUGUUGGUGGGGUAGUGGCUUACUAAGGCUUUGACGGGUAGCCGGCCUGAGAGGGUGACCGGCCACAUUGGGACUGAGAUACGGCCCAGACUCCUACGGGAGGCAGCAGUGGGGAAUAUUGCACAAUGGGCGGAAGCCUGAUGCAGCAACGCCGCGUGCGGGAUGACGGCCUUCGGGUUGUAAACCGCUUUCGCCUGUGACGAAGCGUGAGUGACGGUAAUGGGUAAAGAAGCACCGGCUAACUACGUG